rnacentral:rRNA from 1 species
CAGCCGCCGCGGUAAUACAGAGGGUGCAAGCGUUAAUCGGAAUUACUGGGCGUAAAGCGCGCGUAGGUGGUUUGUUAAGUUGGAUGUGAAAUCCCCGGGCUCAACCUGGGAACUGCAUCCAAAACUGGCAAGCUAGAGUAUGGUAGAGGGUGGUGGAAUUUCCUGUGUAGCGGUGAAAUGCGUAGAUAUAGGAAGGAACACCAGUGGCGAAGGCGACCACCUGGACUGAUACUGACACUGAGGUGCGAAAGCGUGGGGAGCAAACAGGAUUAGAUACCCCUGUAGUCCCUGUCUCUUAUAU